AUUGAACGCUGGCGGCAAGCCUAACACAUGCAAGUCGAACGAGUGGCGGACGGGUGAGUAAUGUCUGGGACACUGCCUGAUGGAGGGGGAUAACUACUGGAAACGGUAGCUAAUACCGCAUACCAUCGGAUGUGCCCAGAUGGGAUUAGCUAGUAGGUGGGGUAAAGGCUCACCUAGGCUACGAUCCCUAGCUGGUCUGAGAGGCUGACCAGCCACACUGGAACUGAGACACGUUCCAGAAUCCUACGGGAGGAAGCAGUGGGGAAUAUUGCACAAUGGGCGCAAGCCUGAUGCAGCCAUGCCGCGUGUAUGAAGAAGGCCUUCGGGUUGUAAAGUACUUGCAGCGGGGAGGCGUUACCCGCAGAAGAAGAACCGGAUAACUCCGUGACAGCAGCCGCGGUAAUAC
rnacentral:rRNA from 1 species